GUCCUUGUAGCGCAAUGGAUAGUGCGUUGGAUUGCUGAUCCAAAGAUCGUAUAUUCGAUUCCUACCUGGGAUG